UACGUAGGCAGCGAGCGUUGUCCGGAAUCAUUGGGCGUAAAGAGCGCGUAGGCGGCCAGAUAAGUCCGGUGUGAAAGUCAAAGGCUCAACCUUUGAAUGCCGCUGGAAACUGUCUGGCUAGAGUCCGGGAGGGGCGAGUGGAAUUCCUGGUGUAGCGGUGAAAUGCGCAGAUAUCAGGAGGAACACCAAUGGCGAAGGCAGCUCGCUGGAACGGUACUGACGCUGAGGCGCGAAAGCGUGGGGAGCAAACAGG
rnacentral:rRNA from 1 species